GCUGCUGAGUAGAGGUGGCCUUGGGGCUGGGGUUAGGGAGGUGAGGGAAGAGCUUAAGUGUAGAGCUCUGUUAGUUGUGGAAGUGGUAUGCAUUUUUAGUGCAUUCAGCUUUGCUUGGGUUUGGAUUUUCCUUCACUUCCUCUGCAGUAAAGACAUUAUAAUCUUGCAAGUGUUAAUUUUUGACUAGUUCUAGCAUAGACUUAGGACAGGAAGAAGCCUGUUUAGGGCUGUUGGAGUUUGGAUCUUGUGCAAUAUGUGGGAGUUGUGCUCCAGCUAUUUUUCUGUUAGGUAUAUGAGGAAAGACAGAGGGAGUGGAAAGAGCUCAGGCUUUGCUUAUUUUUUAUGCUGCAAACAGUGUAGCCCUGUAGAGGAAAAAGGAUUUGAAGUGUUGACCUGGCAUGUUAAAGUCAUGGGUAGCACUUGACAGCAUUUUCUCUCUUAGAAGUUCCUCAGACAUAUGGGAAGGUGGUCAAGAGCAGGAGCUGCUGCUACUGCCCUCUUGACUGGAAAUAGUAGAUGCCAGUAGAAUCAAAAACAGGAGUAACAAAUAAUAUGUAGGACAAUUGCAGGAGCUCUCAGAGUCCUGGUGUUUCAGGCCUGCAGAAGCUCAGCCUUGUGUACCAAGCUGUGGGGCUGCCUGAGGAGCUUUCACAAACAGCACUUUAUGUAGCUUAUUGCAAGCUGUGCAGCACUCACACAACCACACAGUAUUUACUGGUUGGAAUUGUUGGGCCAGCUGGACCACAGUGCACACAGCCAUGUGUCUUCCCAGAAGUCAGCAAGAUGUGUUUGCGCAUCCCAGCAAGCUCUGCUUGUGAGUAGUUCAGUGGCCUCUUUCUCCUUUGACUCUGUAUAUGGAAGGAGAUGUGUUAUGUGUAACCGAGCCAAGAAUGGCCCAACUCUGCUCUCUGUACAUUUCCAAGCACCAAUAAGUCUAAUAGUUGUGCUUAUUCUGUGAUAAAUGACGAUAAGCACUGGCUGAGGAAGCUGUUGUCUGUGGAGACAGCAUCCGUGUGUCCACUGACCCCUGUUGUCUCUUACUCUGUGCUGAUGGCACGUGCCAAACCCCACGUUGUCUCAGUGCCAGCUGACCACAGGAUCCAUCCAGCCGACUGCUUUGCGGUGAUGAAUUGCUGUAUUUGCUGCUGGCUGCAUAUGGCAGGGAGUUUAAGAUCUCCAUGAAGGAAAAUGAUUAUCAUUGAGUCACACCAAUAGCUGCGACGCUGGCUGCCUGCCCCCACCAGCCUGCUGCACCACUUGUGUGCUAAUGUUUGGAUUCUAGUGGUGGGAAAUGAAUGUCAGCCUGUACUCUCUUCAUGCACCAUUGAGCUGUGCUUAUGGUCGCUCUUGGCAGCACCAAAUCAUCAAACAGAUAAAACCAUCAGUCUUUUUAUUUCCAAACAUUAACCUAACUGCUAAUAAAGCACAGCUCAUGUCAUCCUUAUGGACUCUGCAGAGCUGAGUCACACGACAAACGGGAUCCGAAUGCUGGAAAAUGGCUCGUGCUUCUUCCUCGUGCUGUGUCCGGGCCUGCUGUGCAAGCGGGGCCUGUCUGGAGGAGUUCUGCCUUGGGCCUGCGUGCCAGAGCUGUGUGGGGAAGCUGGUGGAGCUGGGCUCUGUCCACCUAGCACAGCGUGGGGCUGUGACCUGUGUGCUUUGGGGUGCGCACAGUAGGCCGCUCAGCCCCAGCUCAGGUGCGGAAGGCUUUCCAGGCCCCAAGGUAGAGGAAAUGGAGCAAUCCUCCCUCUCUGUGGACUUUGCCUCCAGUGGCUCGAACAUAUUUUUCCCCAAACAUCUCCCAGCAAAACUGGAGGGGUUUUGUAAAUUCAUUAUGUCACAGAGGAAUCUGUUUAAUCAGCUGCCUUUUCCCCAGAGGCGCUUUGCGCUUAAUGAGACGCUUGAUGGAAGGAAUCAAAAUUGGUUUAUACGAAUUUAGCCUGAGAGCCUCCAGCCAAUGUAUUACUGAGUGCACUGUAAUUUAGAGGGGUAAACGGAGAGGCUGAGCAGUUAUCACCCCAUUUGCUUGAGGUCAGUGGUGGGGUGAAAGGUAAAACCUAGAGCUCUGCAUUGCGCCAUCCCUUUCCUAGGUGUCAUCAUGAUAAAUAGCACAGUCUCUGUGCCACCAGGAGCCCUCUCCCUGCUGCUGGUGUGACCUGCUGGGCUCUCUUCCUGACCAGUGCAGUUUGCAGUCAUGCAGCGAGGCACAUCCUUGCUUAGCUUAAGUCUGAGGAUGUCUCACUAAUUCAGAUGGUAUCCAUAUGAGGCAUACAGCAUGUAUGUGGAAAGGGGAUCAGGAACCUAGUGAGCUAGAUAGUGGGACGCAGAGCUGCAAUGUGGAAUAGUUCCAACUUUAGGUCCAAAAUCCAUUAUUAAAAUCUUCCCCUGUGAAAUUAAUGUACAAAGAGCAAUCUUUUGUUUCCUUUGCACAUCCACCUUCUUCAGCUGCCUGUGCUAAUCACCUUGUGACCUGCCUUCCUGUGGUGGGCCAGCUCUGUGGCUACCAGGCCUUCAUCAUUUAGCCCUCUUCUUUUCUUUUUAAUUUAUCUUGAGAAAGACAAGUCUGAGUUAUCAACAGAAGUGGAAUUUCACACAGACAAA
ensembl:lncRNA